CCUACGGGAGGCAGCAGUAAGGAAUAUUGGACAAUGGACGCAAGUCUGAUCCAGCCAUGCCGCGUGAAGGAUUAAGGCCCUCUGGGUUGUAAACUUCUUUUAUAGGGGACGAAAAAAGGGCUUUCUAGCUCGACUGACGGUACCCUAUGAAUAAGCACCGGCUAACUCCGUGCCAGCAGCCGCGGUAAUACGGAGGGUGCAAGCGUUAUCCGGAUUCACUGGGUUUAAAGGGUGCGUAGGCGGGCAGUUAAGUCAGUGGUGAAAUCUUCGAGCUCAACUCGGAAACUGCCAUUGAUACUAUCUGUCUUGAAUAUUGUGGAGGUGAGCGGAAUAUGUCAUGUAGCGGUGAAAUGCUUAGAUAUGACAUAGAACACCAAUUGCGUAGGCAGCUCGCUACACAAAUAUUGACGCUGAGGCACGAAAGCGUGGGGAUCAAACAGGAUUAGAUACCCUGGUAGUCCACGACCUAACUAUAGUAUACUACGACAUAUGCGACUACACUGUAUGUGUCGUGAGACGAAGACGAUUAAGUUAAUACCUUACCGUUACGGUAAGGUUACGACCGACCGAGGUUAGGUUAACGUACGAAGGAAGUUAGGUUACGGACGUUGGAGACGUUACGCCGACGGACGACCGACGGAGGGGAGGUAGGAG
rnacentral:rRNA from 1 species